ACUGCUCAUUGGUUUCUACGGGACUUUUGAAAGACGCGCGGGAGGAGGGCCCUGUUGAACGUUGAUUGGCUGGGAGGGCACCCUCUUCCUUCAAGUGGGGAAGGAGGGGGUGGAGCCAGAAGAAAGGCUCUCAAAGGCCUCCCAACUCUUUUGGGGAUGCUGGAAAGCUUUUCUCAAGGCAGGAUUCCAGAGUGGUCUCAGGAUCUCUUUAAUCUUCAGCAUCAGGGGUCUCUUCCACUUCUUCAGAAUAUACCUUCUUCUUCGGGAUUAAUGAAGUCCCAGCCCCAUCGAGUGUUGUGUAAAUUCUGCCACCUUGGGCCUCAGCUGCAUGCGAACACAGAAUCCAUCUGUUCUAGCUCCUAUUGAUUCUGCAGAGUGGGGAAGAUGGACUUUAGCUCCAUGAAUGUGUCCCAUCAUAUUCUUGAAAAAGAGAUCCAUACAGGAAGUUUUUUCAAAGAAAUCAGUGUGUGUGUGUGUGUGUGUGUGUGUGUGUGUGUGUGUGAGUUUGUGUAUGGUUGAUCUCUACUCAUUUAUGUGCAUCACGGAUAGAUUUUGCUUGUCACAUUAGAAUAAUAAAGAAAAUAUUAGUAAAGAACAAUAAGGGAUUUAAGUGCUUUCUUCCCUCCCUCUCUCUUUCUUUGAAGACUUCUAAAAUCAAUUGGCAGGAUAAAAUUCAGGGAUGUUAAAAAAAAAACCGAACAUGCUUUAAUAGUUGAUGUUUAAUAAUUUGGAAAUGAGAUUUUUUUUUUUGUUGUAACUUUAAAAUUCAAUUUGUUGUGUUUAUCAAGCACCUGCUAAGAGCCCAGAAAAAAAUAAGUACACAACUCAGUUCUUUUUUUUAAAAUUUUUAUGAAUGUUUAUUUAGUUUUGAGAGAGA